rnacentral:rRNA from 1 species
UAAUACGAAGGUGGCAAGCGUUGUUCGGAUUUACUGGGCGUAAAGAGUGCGUAGGCGGUUUGAUAAGUCAGAAGUGAAAGCCCAGGGCUCAACCUUGGAAUUGCUUUUGAAACUAUCUUACUUGAAUCCGGUAGAGGUUGGCGGAAUUCUCAGUGUAGAGGUGAAAUUCGCAGAUAUUGAGAGGAACACCAGUGGCGUAAGCGGCCAACUGGACCGGUAUUGACGCUGAGGCACGAAAGCAUGGGGAGCAAACAGG